CUUUUCGCAAAGACCUGUCAGAGUUCUGUUUGUGACGCAUAUUGCCGGUGUUCUCCUGGCGCGUCCUGAAGCCGCAGGUGUUUCCUCCCUUGCCUGUCGGUGAUGCGCCCGCCUUGCCUCGCUCGCUGCGACAAGCUGAGCGAGGCAUCUU
rnacentral:sRNA from 1 species